ACGAGGCAGCAAAUCCGAACAGGCAAAGGCCUCACUCUCCAGUGCAGUCUGGGAGGACUGAUCAGGGAAGAACAGAUCAGGGUGAAGAACAGAAAGGUGAGCUCUGAUCCUGGAACUUCUUCCCUGCGCUCUGCCAGCUCCCACCUCGCCACCACCCUGGGUUCUGGAACCACGCCAAGCAGGGCAGAAACCGAAGUGCUUUUGGAAGUCCACAGGGAUUCCCACACCCACCACAGCCCAAUUUCAUCUGCCCACAGUUGCUCCCUGAACUCAGUGGCUCUGCCGCAGCAGGGAGAUGGUCUGAAGGACAGGCGUGGGGGCAGAAGAAGACCCCAAGGCAUCUCCCCAAGAUGACCACAGUUGUCCCUGAAGAAGCAGUCACAGCAAGCUCACUUCACAGGAACCAAGCUGUGGGCUGAUCCUACAGACUUGAAAAGACAACUCAAAAAGAUUGUCUGUGGGGUCAGAAACAGCUCUGGAGGGGUCUGCAGAAAUUACUUUCCCAAGUCUUUGGGCUGGAAGGAACGAACAGUGCCUGACCAAGGACUUUGAGCAGGAGAGAGAUGGGAGCAGAGAGGAGCCAAGGUCUACUAUUUUCACUUCUGUCAAUUAGAUCAAAGCCCUGCCCAGAAGCUUUGAGCGCCGCUGUCAAGUCCCAUUCCUCCCCUAAACCAUCCAGGUUCCAUCUGCCUUGAAGCCAAAGGAUCUUCUUAGAUUCCUCAAGAAAAAUUCAGGCCCCGAGUUUCUCCACCAGCACUCUCCUCUCCCCGAAGGAGUGGGUGGGCUGCAUUUCUCUUCAUAUUCUAUUCCAUUCCAGACCGUCUUGGACUACCAGCCUGUCCGCCACCCCUCGGGGCCCUCCCUCCUACUCUGCCCUUGCCCGCUGAGGUCCCAAGCUGAGGAGAUGAGCCGAGCAGUAAAAAGAGAGGAGGUUUGGAAAAGCAAUGUCCUCUCAGUCUUUAAUAGGUGGCCCCCCUGGGAACCUGCUGGAAGUGGAAGUUAAUAAGCUGAAGGUGGUCACAACCAAUCUCUGCCACACUCGCACCCUACCCCACCCCAAAUCAUUCCUUUUAAUUAAUAGUGGAAGACCUUUUUAAAAAUGUAACAUGAAUUGGCUAUUUCUUGAGGCAAACAAAAGGUGGCUCUGAAGCGAUAUAUUUGUACUCGUAUAAAUUCAUUAAAAUAGAAAGC
rnacentral:lncRNA from 1 species